AUUGAACGCUGGCGGCAGGCCUAACACAUGCAAGUCGAACGAGUGGCGGACGGGUGAGUAAUGUCUGGGAAACUGCCUGAUGGAGGGGGAUAACUACUGGAAACGGUAGCUAAUAUCUCAUACCAUCAGAUGUGCCCAGAUGUGAUUAGCUAGUUGGUGGGGUAACGGCUCACCCAGGCGACGAUCCCUAGCUGGUCUGAGAGGAUGACCAGCCACACUGGAACUGAGACACGGUCCAGAGUCCGACGGGAGGCAGCAGGGGGGAAGAGUGCACAAUGGGCGAAAGCCUGAUGCAGCCAUGCCGCGUGUAUGAAGAAGGCCUUCGGGUGUUAAAGUACUUUAAGCGGGGAGGCGUUACCCGCAGAAGAAGCACCGGCUAACUCCGUGCCAGCAGCCGCGGUAAUUC
rnacentral:rRNA from 1 species